rnacentral:rRNA from 1 species
UACGUAGGGGGCAAGCGUUAUCCGGAAUCACUGGGCGUAAAGGGUGCGUAGGCGGCCAUUAAAGUCAGAGGUGAAAUCCCAGGGCUCAACCCUGGUAAGCCUUUGAAACUUAAUGGCUUGAGUACAGGAGAGGAGAGUAGAAUUCCUAGUGUAGCGGUGAAAUGCGUAGAUAUUAGGAGGAAUACCAGUGGCGAAGGCGACUCUCUGGACUGUAACUGACGCUGAGGCACGAAAGCGUGGGUAGCGAACAGG